CCCUAUUAGUAUUAUUGUCGCAUUAUUUCUAUUUACUAUGAAUAAAAAACCUUGCGCUGGCGACACACUCUCUGACAUCUAAACAAAAGGACCAAUAACAUUGUUCUACACGAAGCUCUCAUUGGGUAAUCCUAAUCAGUUCAGCCUAUUGCAGUCCACUGCUGGACA